GUGAGGAAUAUUGGUCAAUGGACGAGAGUCUGAACCAGCCAAAUCGCGUGAAGGAAGACUGCCCUACGGGUUGUAAACUUCUUUUGUACAGGAAUAAAAGACAUUACGUGUAAUGUAUUGCAUGUACUGUACGAAUAAGCAUCGGCUAACUCCGUGCCAGCAGCCGCGGUAAUACGGAGGAUGCGAGCGUUAUCCGGAUUUAUUGGGUUUAAAGGGUGCGCAGGCGGGAUUUUAAGUCAGCGGUGAAAUUUUCAGGCUCAACCUGAACACUGCCGUUGAAACUGGGAUUCUUGAGUAUGGAUGAAGUAGGCGGAAUUCGUUGUGUAGCGGUGACAUGCUUAGAUAUAACGAGGAACUCCGAUUGCGUAGGCAGCUUACUAAGCCAUAACUGACGCUCAAGCACGAAAGCGUGGGGAUCAAACA
rnacentral:rRNA from 1 species